UACAGAGGUCUCGAGCGUUGUUCGGAUUUAUUGGGCGUAAAGGGUGCGUAGGCGGUUUGGCAAGUCUGAUGUGAAAUCUAUGGGCUCAACCCAUAGUCUGCAUCAGAAACUGCCGGGCUUGAGUAUGGGAGAGGUGAGUGGAAUUUCCGGUGUAGCGGUGAAAUGCGUAGAUAUCGGAAGGAACACCUGUGGCGAAAGCGGCUCACUGGACCAUUACUGACGCUGAUGUACGAAAGCUAGGGGAGCAAACAGG
rnacentral:rRNA from 1 species